rnacentral:rRNA from 1 species
GAUGAACGCUGGCGGCGUGCCUAACACAUGCAAGUCGAGCGAUUUACUUCGGUAAAGAGCGGCGGACGGGUGAGUAACGCGUGGGUAACCUGCCCUGUACACACGGAUAACAUACCGAAAGGUAUGCUAAUACGAGAUAAAAUACUUUUAUCGCAUGGUAGAAGUAUCAAAGUUUUUGCGGUACAGGAUGGACCCGCGUCUGAUUAGCUAGUUGGUAAGGUAACGGCUUACCAAGGCGACGAUCAGUAGCCGACCUGAGAGGGUGAUCGGCCACAUUGGGACUGAGACACGGCCCAA